rnacentral:lncRNA from 1 species
AGUUCCGCCUUGGGACGAGGCCCUGGCUGGGGGAACCGCAUCAGGCCUGACACCCAUCCCAUUCCCCCCUAAACCCAGAACGACAUCCAACCUCAUUCCGCAGCCCCUUCCCGACCUCGCCGCUCAGGCUAUGAUGGAAAGGUCCCUGGGAGUGGGGAGGAGGGCGAAUUUAAACCCAGAGAGAGAUCCUGUAGCCCAGUUCUCCUCGGUUCCCUAAACCUCCAGGAAAGCGGAGAAAGUCACAUUGUGGUGGCAGCUGCAGGUUUUUUUUUUUUAAUCUGUUAAUAAAACGCAAGUGAAUCAAAUCCGCCCUAAGGGAAGGGGGGGGGGCGCGGCGAGGCAGGGGCCAUGGUGUUUGCAGAAGUUGGAAAUUUAAUAAGAAGGAAAAAUAAAAAUAGCCACUGUGCUGGAGAGAGAGAGAGAGAAGGUUGGGAG